GGGACUCUAGCUCAAGUGGUCAGAGCCCCCGGCUCAUAACCGGGUUGUUCUCGGUUCGAACCCGAGGGGUCCCA
rnacentral:tRNA from 1 species